UCAUAUCUGGACUGUAGAAACACCUGAAGUGACUGAAGUUAGUCCGGUUUAGGUAUGAGAAUGAUUGGAGCACCUCUCCAGAUGUUCCAGAUGUAAUGAAACCGGUGCAAGCUUCAAGCUCUUGAGGUGUUUCUACAGGCUACAUAUGA
rfam:Physcomitrella patens subsp. patens PHYPAscaffold_1 genomic scaffold, whole genome shotgun sequence.